GUUCACUUAUGUAAGUAUCAUCAUUGUUGUCCCCUAAUAAUUAAAUAGAAUAUAGAUGGUGUCGUAAAUAUCUAAAAAGAUUAUUCAUUUUGUAGAAAAAACUUUUUUCUUGGUAUUGGUGGUUGUAUGUAGAGUGCAUAGCUUGCCUAGAACAAGCAUUGAAUUUGUUCAUUCAAAUUGGGAGGCUGAGCAUGUCUUCAUAUUGUAACGCUGAGUUAUAUGACGAGGGGAGAACAUCAAGCAUGCCAUCUCUUACUAAAAGAAAGCAGUUGAUCCUUUCCAAGGUGAAGAAGUAAGAACUUCUACAAAUCAAUGCAUGCAAAAAAUUGCACAAGUUCCAACUCAGCUCAUAUAGAGUCAAGUUGGAAGUCCAAAAGAUAACAUUAUGCCGAGAGUCAUGUUCUUUCUUCAAGUAUUGAUGUGGAAUAAUUAGGGUUGUUUCAGCCAAGACUCAAGUUGAAUGUCCAGAAGAUGCCAAUGCCGAGAGACAUGUUCUUUCUUCAAGUUGUUGUUGAUAGAGAAUACGGUACCAAGCUUCUAUCAUUCCAAGAACUAUCUUCACAUGAUAGAGGAGGCACAAGUUGAGUAAUUGUAGUAGAUAACAUGAAGGUUUUGUUUAUAUCUCUGCAAAAUAUGCUUAAAUUUUAUUUUAUUUUUUGACCAUAUUGGUUUUUUCCGAUAGACAAAGAAUACAACUAGCUGUAUAUGUCCUUAUUUAUUAUCACAUUUAUGUAAUUAAGAUGUAUAGGUGUUAAUCGAUAAGAGCCAGUUAUUUUA